GGAAAUAUCCACUAGAUAAAGCUUUCCCUUGAGUUCACCCUUAAAAGCAAUGGAGUCAUCACUUCUUCUAAAAACAGUCACAACCUCAUUAGUGAACAAACAAUUGUAACCCAUCUCACAAAGUUGAGACACAGAUAACAAAUUGUAGUCCAAUGAUUCAACCAAAUAAACAUUAGAAAUUGAAUGCUCGGUUGAAAUUGCAACUUUACCUAGACCAACAACCGUUCCUUCACUAUUGUCCCCAAACACUAUCUUCUCCCUUGGAUUUUUUCUUCAUCUCACAUGUGGAGAACAUCUUCUCGCCGUUCAUAUGAUUGGUGCAUCCACUAUCAAUCAC
rnacentral:lncRNA from 1 species